rnacentral:rRNA from 1 species
UACGUAGGGGGCUAGCGUUGCUCGGAAUCACUGGGCGUAAAGCGCACGUAGGCGGUCUCUUAAGUCGGGGGUGAAAUCCUGGAGCUCAACUCCAGAACUGCCUUCGAUACUGAGAGUCUUGAGUCCGGGAGAGGUGAGUGGAACUGCGAGUGUAGAGGUGAAAUUCGUAGAUAUUCGCAAGAACACCAGUGGCGAAGGCGGCUCACUGGCCCGGUACUGACGCUGAGGUGCGAAAGCGUGGGGAGCAAACAGG